AACCCAGAGCAACAUGUUGGGGUUGGACCACCCAACAGCCAGAGUCCCAUCCACCAGCAAACUGUGGGACAAACUGCUGAGACUCAAGCUGUGUCCUCAGGCUCAAGGUAUCCAGAGAAGGAUUUGUGCACCUUGGCAGACUCCCUUCUGCACCUGAGGUCUGAGCCAGUUGGAUGCCAUUCUCACCCCAGGCUCUGUGCAGAGUACCAGGAUGCUUUCACAUGAUUUGCUGAUUCAGCUUGGGAGCCAGGCAAGAACUUGGUCCCAAGAAGUUGGAUCUUGGAGAUCCUAAUGGGAGAUGUCAUUCCAAACCUGUCAAUGGAGAAGUCACCCCACAAAGAGGAAGAGGAGUAACAGUCCUCACAUGUUAAAUU